CACGUAGGGCGCAAGCGUUGUCCGGAAUUAUUGGGCGUAAAGAGCUCGUAGGCGGUGUGUCACGUCGGCCGUGAAAACCUGCAGCUUAACUGUGGGCGUGCGGUCGAUACGGGCAUCACUGGAGUUCGGCAGGGGAGACUGGAAUUCCUGGUGUAGCGGUGAAAUGCGCAGAUAUCAGGAGGAACACCGGUGGCGAAGGCAGCUCACUGGGACGGUACUGACGCUGAGACGCGAAAGCGUGGGGAGCAAACAGG
rnacentral:rRNA from 1 species